GAGGGUAUAGCUCAAGUGGUAGAGGGCAUGCUUAGCAUGCAUGAGGUCCUGGGUUCAAUCCCCAGUAGCUCCU
rnacentral:tRNA from 1 species